rnacentral:rRNA from 1 species
UUGGAGGGCAAGUCUGGUGCCAGCAGCCGCGGUAAUUCCAGCUCCAAUAGCGUAUGUUAAAGUUGUUGCAGUUAAAAAGCUCGUAGUUGAAUUUCGGGAUUAGUACGUCGGUCGUGCCUUAGGUACGUACUGGUGUUACUGGUUCCUACCUUCUGACGAACCAUCAUGUCAUUAAUUUGGUGUGGUGGGGAAUCAGGACUGUUACUUUGAAAAAAUUAGAGUGUUUAAAGCAGGCUCGCGCUUGAAUACAUUAGCAUGGAAUAAUGAAAUAGGACGUUGAUCCUAUUUUGUUGGUUUCUAGGAUUGACGUAAUGAUUAAUAGGGAUAGUUGGGGGCAUUAGUAUUCAAUUGUCAGAGGUGAAAUUCUUGGAUUUAUUGAAGACUAACUACUGCGAAAGCAUUUGCCAAGGAUGUUUUCAUUAAUCAAGAACGAAAGUUAGGGGAUCGAAGACGAUCAGAUACCGUCGUAGUCUUAACCAUAAACUAUGCCGACUAGGGAUCGGAUGAUGUUAUUUUUAAUGACUCAUUCGGCGCCUUACGGGAAAC